rnacentral:rRNA from 1 species
UACGUAGGCAGCAAACGUUGUUCGGAAUUACUGGGCGUAAAGAGUGUGUAGGCGGCUUUGUAAGUCUGGUGUGAAAUCUCCCGGCUUAACUGGGAGGGUGCGCUAGAAACUGCAAGGCUCGAGUAUCGGAGAGGAAAGCGGAAUUCCUGGUGUAGCGGUGAAAUGCGUAGAUAUCAGGAGGAACACCGGUGGUGUAGACGGCUUUCUGGACGAUCACUGACGCUGAGACACGAAAGCGUGGGGAGCAAACAGG